AGUCACCAAGGCACAGUGAAGACUGACAGACCAAAGGAAUAGUGCAACAGACAGACUUGCUGGCACACAGGUUAGUCACCAAAGCACUGUGAAGACUGACAGACCAAAGGAAUAGUGCAACAGAGACAGACUGGCCGGCACGCAGGUUAGUCACCAAGGCACCGUGAAGACUGACAGACCAAAGGAAUAGUGCAACAGAGACAGACUGGCCGGCACACAGGUCACGUGGCACCGCGUGGGGUAGUGCUUGGUUCACGAGGCAAGGGACACCGAACCCUACAGACAGCUGCCAGAGGUGGUGGUGCCGGCCGUCACGCCUCAAGCCCCUCCACCGCGUCAAGUGACACGUUUGGAAUGAGUUAGUGGCCAGUUACAGCAGUGGACUGGGCAGUAUUAGCAACACAGUAUGGGUAUGGUGUAGAUCUUCUCAGGGUACUCAAGUCAAGUACAAGACGGAAGCAAACCACAAGAAUUGAAAUGCCCAUAUCAGAUGACGAACACUGACCAAGAUAGUGCAAGAAUACAUGAGUCAAAUACAAGAAAGAAGGAAAUGAUAAGGACAGAAGCACUCCACAUCAGAUGGCAAACACUGACCAAACUAAUAAUGCAAGAGUACAAAAGGUUAAGUACAAGAUGCAAACUAUAAGGCCUAAGGUGCUCCACAUUAGAUGGCAAGCACUAACCGAAGUACAUGUCCCUCUUUGAUAACUUGCUCUGAAGUGUACACCUCAGAUCUGCUUUUCAAUCUGAUUAUAAGAACAGGGAAUAUGGAGUUAGUUUUAUGCACAUCAUCUAAUGCAAGUCACCUUCCUACUUCUUGUCUCAACUUGGUCAGUGCAUGUGAUCUAAUUCUGGGAACCUUUUUCAACUUAAUCAAUGCACACCAUAUACAGAAUAUCCAAGGCACCUACCUCUCUACUCCUUUAUCUUGUCCUAACUUAAUCAGCACACACCAUGUACAUAAUGCAAGGCACCUCUCCACUCCCUUCACCUUGCCUCAUGUACCCUAUCCACUCCAUCUCGGCCUUCCUAGAACCUUGAUGAUGCUUUCUUCACUGUCAAGACAAAGGUGCGGAUCUCCAUGGGGCCGAGAGUCACGCUGAGCGGGUCCUGGUGGUGCACGAUAUUGUUGGUCCUGUGCUGCUCACUGGGACUGGCCUGUGCUGUGCUGGUUGUCUUCACCUUCCACUUGAGUCGGUGCUCGUCCUUCUUCCGGAGGUUUGCUGAGAGAAUCAUUUCCUCCACACCAGUGAUAGCCCAGUCUGCCAAAAGUCCCUGUGGGAGGCAAAGCAGAAAUGAAUGCAUGAAAGGGCAUGAAAGACAAGCCAACCCUGACGCACCUUGAGGGACACAGUGACAGGGCUGCUGUGUGUGUCACUCUCUCCCUUCUCAUACAUGUGUUCGAGGCGCAACAGCAGCAGGUUGUCCCCCCAUGGCUCCAGCGUGAGCAGGUGCACGUUGGAUGGCAGAUUCAUCCCCAGGCCGCCCCACUGAGGAUAAUAAGCAGCCAGUGAAAAGAGAGAGUCCUGAGUGCGACUGUACUGUGUCUAUCAAUGCAUUCUUGGUAAAAAGGCAGGUUCUCUCUACUUUUCCCUAUAUACCUUUAAGAACAAACCCUGGAUAUUGUAAGAUGGAAGGAAAUUAAUGAAAAUAAAAAAGCCCUACCUGCAUAAGUGAAUCCAGUGGUGAUUGAAACAAGUUUAUCCCUGACUAGUUUCACUUUUCAGCUUCUUCAGAGGAUAAAACUCCUCUUCCUGUGCCCUUUUUUCCACCACCACUGGAUUCUAAAUACCCCAAAAAUGUCUUCCCUUGCCUCUUCCUCUGUGACUCCCAUCCUUUGCAGUUCUGCUUCAAUUCCAUCCCUCUAUCUCUGUCUUCAAGGGGAUCAUAUUCCCUUAACUGGUCUUCUAACUGAUUCCUGGUCCUCUCUUCUUAGUUUCUGAACAUUGGAGUUACAGCACUUCUUGCUAGACAACUGUGCAUCUCAAAAGUAAGAUACCUCACCUUUCAACAGCAUGAUAGAGCGUACCUUGUUGACAGCUGUGUUGGUCCAGGUAUGUGCUAAGGCAGAGGUUUCUUCAAAGGCAUAGAGUGGCGGCAGCAGCAGCUCCUCUCCAAGCGUGCGGUGUAGGCAGCCGAAGUCACACUCCGGGCUUGCAAAGGAGCUGUAGGGAUGAGAGCUAGUGUGGUGAACCGUAUCAUGGCAUGGUUGUGUGAUUGAGUGAUUGUAUGUGGUGAGAGUGAUGAUAGUGUGUGUGAGCUUUGUGGUAGUGUGGGUGAAUGAUGAUAGUAGUAACUCUUGGUAUGGUGAGUUUUGUGGAACUGGUGGAUGAGAGACUGGGUGGUUUGAUGUGACAGUAAUUGUGUUACUCUUGGAUUUCCUCCUUUUUCUUAUAAGCUAUUGGAUUUCCUCCUUUUUUUUAUAAGCUAAAAAAAGUUUUAUUCAUAUUUUUUACAAGCUUACAUGUCUAAGCAUCAAGAGGCAGCAGGAAUUGGCCAAAAUUGUGACCUGCAUUUAUAGUAACUUUAUACAUACAGACUGAGUGACUAGUGAAAUGAAGCUUAAUUAUAUAGACUGCUAAUAAAUAAUAACACC